GCCAACGGCCAUACCACGUUGAAUACACCAGUUCUCGUCCGAUCACUGAAGUUAAGCAACGUCGGGCGUAGUUAGUACUUGGAUGGGUGACCGCUUGGGAACACUACGUGCCGUUGGCUUUU
rnacentral:rRNA from 1 species